AUGCCAUCAUGGUGGGGGAAGUCUUCCUCAAAAGAUGCAAAGAAAACCACCAAAGAGAACCUCAUGGAUACAUUUCAUCGGUUUAUAAGUCCAAAUGAGCAAAAAGGAAGCACAAAAUCAAAACGGAGGUACAGACGUGGCGAUGAUACAACUGUUGAAAAGGUCUGCCAGUCUACCACAGUAUCGCGCGCAACUUCACCCUCAAAAGAAGUUUCUCGCUGUCAAAGCUUUUCAGCUGAUAGGGUACAUUCCCAACCGCUUCCUGUUCCUGGAUCACGUCCUGCAGUGACACGCACUGCUUCUGAUGUCACCGAAUCAAGGCCCAUAUUAGAAAAACGUGGCAAACCACCACUGCUUCUGCCACUUCCUAAACCUAACAGGCCUCAGAGAAGGUCAGAAAUAGUGAUUGCUUCACUUUCUAGCAACUGCUCUGUUGAUAGUGAUGACCAUGGAGAUUCUCAGCUUCCGAGCCCUGUUGGAAAUGAUGCUGAAAACACAACAAAUACUACUUCCAAGAGCAAGUCAAGUAAUGUGCGCAAAGAGCGUCCUGGUGCUAUCACCACCAAGAAUACGAAGGAGAUGGCAAAGACAGCUAAUCAAUUCCUCAGUAACCAUACAUUGUCCACAUCACCGAGAGGUAUUGCAGCUGACAAUCACCAACCUAAUCCACAAAAUCCUCGGCCGGUAGUCUUGGAGAGUGCUCCAAAUAGUUUGAUGUCAAGUCCUUCUAGAAGUCCGAGAAGAAUAUGUCCAGACCAUAUUCCAACUUCAGCCUUUUGGGCAGUGAAGCCUCAUACAGAUGUUACUUUCCUUGGCUCUGGUCAGUGCUCCAGUCCAGGUUCAGGGCAAACAUCUGGCCAUAACUCUGUGGGUGGUGAUAUGCUAGCCCAGCUUUUCUGGCAGCCCAGCAGAGGUAGUCCAGAGUGUUCACCGAUUCCUAGCCCAAGAAUGACAAGUCCUGGCCCUAGUUCCAGGGUGCACAGUGGAAGUGUUUCUCCAUUGCAUCCGAGGUCUGGAGGGAUGGCACCUGAAUCUCCGACAGGUCGGAAUGAUGGUGGGAAGAAGAAGCAAACCCACAGAUUGCCUCUUCCACCACUGAGCAUCUCUAAUAGUUCAUUUUUUCCAAACAAGUCCACGCCAGCUAGUCCUAUUUCAGCGCCUCGUAGUCCUGGCCGAACAGAGAAUCCACCAAGUCCUGGAUCACGAUGGAAGAAGGGGAAGCUGAUUGGUCGUGGAACAUUUGGCCAUGUAUAUGUUGGCUUUAACAGUGAUAGCGGUGAAAUGUGUGCUAUGAAAGAGGUGACCCUAUUCUCGGAUGAUCCUAAAUCAAAGGAAAGUGCAAAGCAGUUGGGGCAGGAAAUAUCGCUCUUGAGCCGCUUACAACACCCAAAUAUCGUACGAUACUAUGGCACAGAAACGGUUGAUGACAAACUGUAUAUAUACUUGGAGUUUGUGUCUGGUGGAUCUAUCCAUAAACUUCUACAAGAGUAUGGACAGCUUGGUGAACCAGCAAUACGCAGCUACACUCAGCAGAUACUCUCAGGCUUAGCUUAUUUGCAUGCGAAGAAUACAGUCCAUAGGGAUAUCAAAGGUGCAAACAUACUAGUAGAUCCUAGCGGUCGUGUUAAGCUUGCAGACUUUGGAAUGGCUAAACAUAUCAAUGGGCAGCAAUGUCCUUUCUCAUUUAAGGGUAGUCCAUAUUGGAUGGCUCCAGAGGUUAUAAAGAGUUCGAAUGGUGGUUGCAAUCUUGCGGUUGACAUAUGGAGUUUAGGAUGCACUGUCCUGGAGAUGGCUACCGCAAAACCCCCAUGGAGCCAGUACGAAGGGAUUGCUGCAAUGUUCAAGAUUGGAAAUAGCAAGGAACUUCCACCAAUACCAGAUCACCUAUCAGAGCAGUGCAAGGACUUCAUCAGAAAGUGUCUGCAGCGUGAUCCUUCUCAACGGCCGACAGCAAUGGAGCUUUUGCAACACCCGUUCAUACAAUAUAAAGUCCGACUUGAGAAAUCCGUUAUGUCUGAUCCUUUGGAACAUUUGCCCGUGAUAUCUUGUAGACCGAAUUCUAAGGUGGCUGGACAUACAACAAAUAUCUCGUCAUUGGGAUUGGAGGGUCAGACAAUUUACCAGAGGAGGGGUGCAAAAUAUUCUUCGAAGCAUAGCGAUAUCCAUAUACGGAGCAAUAUAUCCUGUCCAGUUUCUCCAUGUGGAAGUCCUCUGCUAAGGUCAAGGUCUCCCCAACAUACAAAUGGCCGAAUGUCACCAUCUCCAAUUUCAAGCCCCAGAACCCUUUCAGGCGCUUCUACUCCCCUGUCUGGUGGUAAUGGUGCUAUUCCCUUUAAUCAUUCAAAGCAACCAACCUACAACAAUGAAGAUUUGCAAUCGCAUCAAGAGGCCCAGAUGAUCACUUCCCCAACCGGCCUACAGAUCGUAACCUUGGGCAGUUUGGUCGAGUGCAUCAAGUCUCACAGGGGAAUCAGGAGAGGAUAG
rnacentral:rRNA from 1 species